rnacentral:rRNA from 1 species
UACAGAGGUGGCAAGCGUUGUUCGGAAUUACUGGGCGUAAAGGGCGCGUAGGCGGUCUUGCAAGUCCUGUGUGAAAUCCCUCGGCCCAACUGAGGAACUGCACAGGAAACUGCUUGGCUUGAGUUCGGGAGAGGGAAGCGGAAUUCCGGGUGUAGCGGUGAAAUGCGUAGAUAUCCGGAGGAACACCGGUGGCGAAGGCGGCCUGCUGGGCAGUUGCUGACACUGAGGCGCGACAGCGUGGGGAGCAAACAGG